UACGGAGGGUGCGAGCGUUGUCCGGAAUCACUGGGCGUAAAGGGCGCGUAGGCGGCUCGAUAAGCGUGUGGUGAAAGCCUGGGGCUCAACCCCGGGUCGGCCAUGCGAACUGUCGAGCUGGAGCACUGUAGAGGCAGGCGGAAUUCCGGGUGUAGCGGUGGAAUGCGUAGAGAUCCGGAGGAAGACCGGUGGCGAAGGCGGCCUGCUGGGCAGUUACUGACACUGAUGCGCGACAGCGUGGGGAGCAAACAGG
rnacentral:rRNA from 1 species